AUUGAACCGGAUAGAUAAAAAUGUCAUCACCAACUGGUGGAGUUUCCUGUGUAGGAUAGUAUCAGGAAUAGCUUUUGGAAGGUGAUGAUUGAUCAAUUAUAAUUCCAGGGAUUUCGCGUCAUUGUGUGCAUUCAAUUCGUAAAAAGAAUGUUUGAAAGUGAGAUACACUGAAGGUAAAUUAUGAAAGAGAAACUAUCGAUCGAGAAAGAACGUGAUAAGAAAUUAGUACGAUAGUACGAGGAUCCUAACCUUGUUGAAAAUGAAGUCUGGCACUGUGAACAAACAUAGAGGUUCUACGCUUUUAAAAACGGAAGAAAACGAACAAGUCUAUCAAUUGAUAGGAAAUCGGUGUCAGUGUUUAGCAGCUGGAGUUAUUCAAUUAUAUUUGACUGAACCACCUUUACACAAAGAAUGGAUAAAGAAAACUACAGGUAUUAUAACAUUGAUAAGGGAUAACCCUAGACGUAGCUUUUUCCUUCGUUUAUAUUGCUUACAAAGGAAAGCAAUGUUAUGGGAGCAUGAAGUAUAUAAUGCAAUGGACUAUAAAGCACCCUUGAGUUACUUCCAUACAUUUGAAGCAGAGGACUGUAUGGCUGCUUUUAAUUUUGCAAGUGAAACAGAUGCUGUUACAUUAAGAAACAUUCUUCUUGAUAAGUUGAAUGCAAAACGUCAAAAAAGGCAACAAAGACGUUCUAAGGUAGAAGGAGAAACUCAGCAUGGUGCAACAUUGCCAUGGAGAAAUCAAAGCAACGCAUCACCUGUUGCAUUUAGUACAGGAUCAACUUCUAAUUUAUUAAAUGGAACCCCAACUACAAUUGGUGUCAAUAGGAGUGCUUCUAGUAGUUCUAUGUACAAAAGUAAAAAGAAAAAACGAGAGAAAACCAAGAAAAGGUUAACAAAAGAUGACAUUGGUCCUCCAUCCAAUUUUAGACACGUUACACACUGGGCAUGGAAUACUAGUAGCAAAGAAUUGGAAUUGGACAAAGUCGAUCCACAUUUAAAAAUGUUUCUUGAUAUAGUUGGUGUAUCGGAACAUCAAUUCAGAAAUCAAGAUACGCGUGAUUUUAUUUACGAUUUUAUUGAAAAAAAUGGUGGGAUGAAUGCCAUUAGAGAAGAUAUAUCUUCAUCUAUCCCAAAAACUAAUGCACAACAACAAUUACAACAAUUGCAACAACAACAACAUCAGCAACAAUCUCCAGCAGCGCCUCAAAGACAGGAAUAUCCCCCUCCAGUUCCAGCAAGAACAAUAACACAUCAAACACGAAGUGCUCCACCACUACCUCCAAAUCGAAUUAACGCACCUUCGACACCGCCAAGUGUACCACCUAGUGCACCACUUAGUGCACCACCAGUUCAUAGAACAUUACCAUCUCGACCGCCACCACCUUCUUUAACUUUCGCACCAUCAUUACCACCACCUCCACCUCCGCCUCCUCCUCCUCCACCUCCUCCACCAGCUCUAGCUCCAGCUCCAGCUCCAGCUCCAGCUCCAGCUCCAGCUCCAGCUCCAGCUCCAGCUCCAGCUCCAGCUCCAGCUCCAGCUCCACGUUCUAGAAGUAAUUUAACUACACCUGUUCCACCUCCUCCACCAUUACCAAGUACUGAUGAUGGAACAGUCAAUGCAAGUGCUAUCAAUAAUAAUAAUACUACUAGUAAUGACAAUAAUAACGGAGAUAUCGCUGAUCUAAGGUCAACGCUUAUGGAAUCCAUAAGGAGUGGUACUACACUUCGAAAAAUUGAUAAAUCUGAAGUAAAACAAAGUCCCCCUCCUCCGGAUACAAGGAAUGCUUUGUUAGAAGAAAUUCGUCGUCAAGAAUUUGUGUUAAGGCCCGUUUCGAAUGAAGUAAAAAAUGAACGAAGUAAACCAGCGUUUCAAGGAGGAUUAGCUAGUGCUUUAUCAAGAGCUCUUGCCGAGCGAUCAAGUGCAAUCCAUAGUGAAAGUGAUGAUUCGACUAGUGAAACCAGUGAUGAUGAUGAUGACUGGGAUGAUUAACUCAGAUGAAGCAUUUGACUCGAGGAAUAAAAUAAUGUAUCACUGUGAUAAAUCUGCUAUCAAUAAACAUGUAAACAGAUUAGCUACUUUAAAUGUAUAAUAGAACGAUUUUGAAUUUGAUAUCCAAAGAAGAAUGAAAAUCACAUGUAAAUGUUCCGAAAAAGGAAAUCACAUAAUGUGUUAUCAGGAAGUAAGGCAUAAUUACAUGGAUAGGGCAGGUGUCGAGACCACAGGAUUGAAGCGGAAACAGAGAAAUUGUCUAUGGAAGUGUAUGAAGCACAAGAUAAAAAGUUUUAUGCCACUAUGGAGAAAUCCUAGUCACACAGAAAUGAGAAAAAAGGAAUAUGUUAAUUAUUAGUUAUUGUAUUUUAUUAUAUUCUAUGCAAUAUUAUUGUAACGUAAACGCUGUUCGACGUCCGAACUUCUCUUUCGAUUGACUAGAAAAAUCAUAGUUGCAGGAUUUUUUGCUUCGAUUACUGUCGAAUAUAUGAAAAUACCGGGACGAGAGCGUAAUUAAGAGAAAGAGGGGAUCUACGCUAUAUUUGUUAACUAGGAUAAAGGGAAAGUAGCGAGAGAUGUUAAAACAAAAGACUUGUUACAUAUGAUAAGCUAAUAAGAUUGUAUGUAGAAUGGGAGGAUUACAAAAUUUUACUUUGAACGCAUUAUAUAGAAAUAUUGUUGCAUUUAAGAAGAAAAAGAAAAGAGAAAAAGAGCUAUUAAUGGGCAUGUAUCUUUGUCCAGUUUUAAGAAGUAAAUUGUUCUUCUAUUGAAUCUACAUAUAACAUAGUACAUGUUACAAAUCGUAUUCGGUUUGUGUUGUGACUACCAAAUAUCAAAAACUAUAAAAAAACGAACAUAUAACAAAUAUUAAUUUACUUUAACACGCAACUUCCUCUUCUACUGUAUUAUUUUUUGUAUUAACUAAAAAAGAAAUAGACUCAUAUAUAAUUUAUAGCGCAAAUUUUAUGAACUAAUGCAAAACGAAUGUUUCUUCUUUGUUAUUGUGGAAGAACAAGAAAGCAAAAAGAUUCAUCUACAGAGAUGAUAGCGUUCGUGAUAACAGGAACCUAAAUUUGUUAUGUGUACAUAGUUUUAAAAGGAACGUUGAAUAUACGUUAAAAUAAUGUUUAUACUAUUUAUUUAACAGUCAGCUUUUAUAUAUACUGGAAAUUAGGUUUAAGUAGAUCAGAUAUGUAUAUCGGUCUAACUAAAUAUUUUUGCUAUGAAUAUGAUGAGAUAAAUAAAAUAUGCGUGUGGAAUUUGCGAUUAAAAAAAGAACCGGAAGUAAAUAUUCAAAUUUUUUCGUUAAACUUGUAACGAUAAUUACCCAUUAUUAAUUACUUCGUUUGUGAGAUUCGAAUGUUAUAACUGUAUUCAAAUAUACAAGAAAACAUAUCAAAAUUUUGAAAAAUAUUAAAUGAUGAUUUUGUAUAAAAGCAAAUAUUUUGUAAAAAAAAAAAAAAAAAAAAAAAAAGAAAGAAAGAAAUACCGAUGAUAUGGGACUAAAAUUAUAUCCGAAUUGAUUGCAUUAAACUAAUAAAAGACCAACUUUCCAAAUCUUAGAAGAAAGUAGCUUCUUCGUAAAAUUGUAAUUCCUAAAAAAAAAAGAUAAAUAUCAUGCCAUUUAUGUAACUGAAAUUGUUGACUUUAUCAACGAAUGUUUAAAAUACAAAUAUAUCAAUAGACACGAAAGAGAAAGGAA